GCAGCCUCUGGAGGGUUCUUCCUCGCCUCGUCUGGCUUCUGGUGCUGUAACGUCCUUGCCUGUGUCUGCGGUACUUCUGGUGGGCGUCUUCCUCCCUUACAAGGACGCGAGUCACGCUGGAUUACGGGCCCACGCUCCUCCUGCACGACCUCAUCUUAACUAGACUACAUCUGCAAAGACCCUUUUUGCACAUAAGGCCACAUUUGCAGGUUUUGGAGAUUGGUGGUGACUUUUUAAAACUAACAUCUUUGGGGAAGCACCAGAAGUAGCCAAGUAAGAGAAGAAAAAGAUGAGCUUUGGAAAGAGUGAAAACCUUGCAGGCCGCUGGGCAAGAGGAGACACAGUAACACAUUUCCUACGGGCCUUGGGCCAGCGCUGGGACAGACCGAAGACGGGGGCCCGUGCACCGUGGGUUCCGUGCGCCAUCUGGGGGCCUGAGGCUGACAUUGUGCGCACCAUCCCGGCUCUUACACCAUUGAUGCGUGGCGCACACCAAGGAGGCAUCGUGGGCUUUCAAGUUCUGCUGGGAGGUGAUCGCGGGGCCCCAAACGCCAAGGGCCAGGUGUUCUGGCUACCAUUCCUUGUUCUACAACAGGAUACUGAGACCUCGGGUCCUUCAUGGACACAGAGAUAACAAUCUUUCCCUGAGGACCAGCCUUCCUCUGACACAUAUCCGUGAGAGAUUAUCUCUGAGCAGUCUGGCCCCUCGUGUUCUCCACCUCCAUGGCCCAGGUCUGGGCACAGGAGUCCCCCCCUUGCCCCUGCUUGGGACACACUCGUGUUCUCGACUCCAGCCCUCUGAAUCCUGCGCUCCCCAAGGCUCGGCCCGCAGGCAUCUUUACAUUCUCAGAAUACCUGUCUCCAUUUUGCUCACCCUACUGUUUCCAAAGUGUGUUCCAAGAAGACAGGAUUUAUUAUUAAGAAUUAUAACUUUAGGGCACCUGGCUGGCUCUGUCAGAAGAGUAUGUGACCCUCGAUCUCAGUGU